rnacentral:rRNA from 1 species
AGCGAACGCUGGCGGCAGGCCUAACACAUGCAAGUCGAGCGCCGUAGCAAUACGGAGCGGCAGACGGGAGAGUAACACGUGGGAACGUGCCCUUUGGUUCGGAACAACCCAGGGAAACUUGGGCUAAUACCGGAUAAGCCCUCACGGGGAAAGAUUUAUCGCCGAAGGAUCGGCCCGCGUCUGAUUAGCUAGUUGGUGGGGUAAUGGCCCACCAAGGCGACGAUCAGUAGCUGGUCUGAGAGGAUGAUCAGCCUCACUGGGACUGAGACACGGCCCAGACUCCUACGGGAGGCAGCAGUGGGGAAUAUUGGACAAUGGGCGCAAGCCUGAUCCAGCCAUGCCGCGUGGGUGAUGAAGGCCCUAGGGUUGUAAAGCCCUUUCGGCGGGGAAGAUAAUGACGGUACCCGCAGAAGAAGCCCCGGCUAACUUCGUGCCAGCCGCCGCGGUAAGAC